UACAGAGGUCCCGAGCGUUGUUCGGAUUCACUGGGCGUAAAGGGUGCGUAGGUGGCAUGGCCAGUUUGAUGUGAAAGCUCAGGGCUUAACCCUGAAAUGGCAUUGAAUACUGCCGUGCUGGAGGUUUGGAGGGGGGACUGGAAUUCUUGGUGUAGCAGUGAAAUGCGUAGAUAUUGGGAAGAACACCGGUGGCGUAGGCGACUCGCUGGGCCGCAACUGACGCUGAGGAACGAAAGCCAGGGGAGCGAAUGGG
rnacentral:rRNA from 1 species